CAAAUCACCAAACCAGCAAAGAGACCCUGCAACUUAACUUACAGAGCUCUUGUAACUACUCGAUCCUAAGAAUGAGGAAAUAUGACAUUGCUAGUAAAGUAUUGAAACAUUGCCAAGAGAAUGGUAAACUUACAUAGUACAUGUGUAGCGUAACAUAAUCUGUUUUGUGAUGGAUCCAUGCUUGUGAGUAGAAUUUGAAUGCUCCUAAUUUAUACUAGGGAUGCAUUUGUGAGUCAGAAGUAUGUGAUCCUCUACCUGCCUACAUUGUACGAGAGCUUAGCUUACAAGCCCCCUCAUAACAAUGACCUCAAGGACUGAUAAUGCAUUUAUCAUACACAUGAAUUGUGUCACAUGACUAUGUGCUACUGUUUCAAUGUUACAGUGUUGUACAGUGCGUGAGGUGUGUGCCAAGUUCACCUCCAUGCCAUUGUCACUGAGAGUGUGUGAGGAGGAGGUCAAGGCGAGGAUGGGAUUGGUGGAGUGUGUCAACCACAACCUAGUGGAGCCCUACCAUCAUCUACGAGAAACACGGUGAGUAUGUUGCACAGAUGAAGUUCACUCUGCUGCUAAUGCCCAAUGGACCACAAAGACUCACCAGUGGCUCCUUUGACCCUGUAUGAGCUAGUGUCUUCACAGCUGAAACUGGAAGACCCUCAACUGAAU